GAACGCUGGCGGCAUGCCUUACACAUGCAAGUCGAAACGGCAGCGAACCUUCGGGUGUCGGCGAGUGGCGAACGGGUGAGUAAAGUAUCGGAACGUACCAUUCAGUGGGGAUAACGUAGCGAAAGUUACGCUAAUACCGCAUAUUCUGUGAGCAGGAAAGCAGGGGAUCGCAAGACCUUGCGCUGAUUGAGCGGCCGAUAUCAGAUUAGCUAGUUGGUGAGGUAAAGGCUCACCAAGGCGACGAUCUGUAGCGGGUCUGAGAGGAUGAUCCGCCACACUGGGACUGAGACACGGCCCAGACUCCUACGGGAGGCAGCAGUGGGAAUUUUGGACAAUGGGGGCAACCCUGAUCCAGCCAUGCCGCGUGAGUGAAGAAGGCCUUCGGGUUGUAAAGCUCUUUCGGCCGGGAAGAAAUCGUGUGGGCUAAUACCCUGCAUGGAUGACGGUACCGGAAUAAGAAGCACCGGCUAACUACGUG
rnacentral:rRNA from 1 species